GUGGAAUAAUAUUUAUUCCAGAAUUUCGUUCAAAUCUCGUUCGCUCUAUAACCCGACGUUUAGAAGCAGUGAUAAAAAUAAAAGGAAUAUUGUAAUCCCGUUUUUGAAACAUUUGUCCGAUUAUUUCUUUGACUUGACUUUUUGCCUGGUUCUGUUACAAUGUGAAUAUUUAAUAAAAAUGUAUUAUGUUGUUAUGUUAUGUUCUCUUGAAAGUAUAUUUUUAAAUCGUGAGAAUAUAGACUUUUGAGUAGAAUCAUCAAAAGUAACUUUGAAGCGAAAAUCAACCCAAAACUUAAAAGGCAGGUAAGCCAAUCAACGACAAGAAAGAAAGAUCUCAGCCAUGAGUCAAGUGAUCAAAAUUGAAAGGUUUCUUGGAAGCAUGAAAUGAAUCAAGUGAAGAUAUGGUCUGGGCCCAACUGGAACAGUCAGUUUAAGAGCUUGUGUAAAGGUAAAUGGUCAGCAGUUCG